UGAUAGGGAUUAUAAUUGCUGCGAAUUUAGGCCUGAUAACGGUUAUUUUUUUGCGACAAAAUUUGUUAGGAACAUGUAACAGUACAGAAUUUAUUUUACUCGAAAGUUUUACAAACAAACUUCUAAGAGAUGUCUUGUACGGCAAACGGAAGUUUUUGUAACUAAUAUAGAAAUGUCACGUGGUGUAUGACGUAGCACAUAUACGGUAUUUAAGAGAGCGAGUAACUGUCCAAGUAACAAAGCUAUAGUCUCCAUAGUACUAAGAAGAAGAAGUAACGAUGAAGGGUUGCCUUAUAGAUUUCGAGUGUUUUAUUCUGUCUUCGGAAAAGAUAAUUUACAGACAAGUGAGUUAUCUAGCGCUGGACGAUGGCAAAGGCGAGUGUAUACAGAUUUAUACUCCCGGUGUUUAUUACAAUCAACUGACCGAAGAGGGGAAGAAGACCGUCAGGCAUGCAACGGACUAUGUAUGGCCUACAGACCUCAACAAGACGGUGCUACUUGGAUUCAUUACAAGAAAAUAGAAG
rnacentral:lncRNA from 1 species